CAGUCGCCGCGGGAAUACGAAGGGUGCAAGCGUUAAUCGGAAUUACUGGGCGUAAAGCGUGCGCAGGCGGUUUGUUAAGACAGAUGUGAAAUCCCCGGGCUCAACCUGGGAACUGCAUUUGUGACUGGCAAGCUAGAGUGCGGCAGAGGGGGGUGGAAUUCCGCGUGUAGCAGUGAAAUGCGUAGAUAUGCGGAGGAACACCGAUGGCGAAGGCAGCCCCCUGGGCCAACACUGACGCUCAUGCACGAAAGCGUGGGGAGCAAACAGGAUUAGAUACCCCGGUAGUCCCUGUCUCUUAUAC
rnacentral:rRNA from 1 species